GACGAACGCUGGCGGCGUGCUUAACACAUGCAAGUCGAACGGAAAGGCCCUGCUUUUGUGGGGUGCUCGAGUGGCGAACGGGUGAGUAACACGUGAGUAACCUGCCCUUGACUUUGGGAUAACUUCAGGAAACUGGGGCUAAUACCGGAUAGGAGCUCCUGCUGCAUGGUGGGGGUUGGAAAGUUUCGGCGGUUGGGGAUGGACUCGCGGCUUAUCAGCUUGUUGGUGGGGUAGUGGCUUACCAAGGCUUUGACGGGUAGCCGGCCUGAGAGGGUGACCGGCCACAUUGGGACUGAGAUACGGCCCAGACUCCUACGGGAGGCAGCAGUGGGGAAUAUUGCACAAUGGGCGGAAGCCUGAUGCAGCAACGCCGCGUGCGGGAUGACGGCCUUCGGGUUGUAAACCGCUUUCGCCUGUGACGAAGCGUGAGUGACGGUAAUGGGUAAAGAAGCACCGGCUAACUACGUGCCAGCAGCCGCGGUGAUACGUAGGGUGCGAGCGUUGUCCGGAUUUAUUGGGCGUAAAGGGCUCGUAGGUGGUUGAUCGCGUCGGAAGUGUAAUCUUGGGGCUUAACCCUGAGCGUGCUUUCGAUACGGGUUGACUUGAGGAAGGUAGGGGAGAAUGGAAUUCCUGGUGGAGCGGUGGAAUGCGCAGAUAUCAGGAGGAACACCAGUGGCGAAGGCGGUUCUCUGGGCCUUUCCUGACGCUGAGGAGCGAAAGCGUGGGGAGCGAACAGGCUUAGAUACCCUGGUAGUCCACGCUGUAAACGGUGGGUACUAGGUGUGGGGUCCAUUCCACGGGUUCCGUGCCGUAGCUAACGCUUUAAGUACCCCGCCUGGGGAGUACGGCCGCAAGGCUAAAACUCAAAGGAAUUGACGGGGCCCCGCACAAGCGGCGGAGCAUGCGGAUUAAUUCGAUGCAACGCGUAGAACCUUACCUGGGUUUGACAUGGAUCGGGAGCGCUCAGAGAUGGGUGUGCCUCUUUUGGGGUCGGUUCACAGGUGGUGCAUGGCUGUCGUCAGCUCGUGUCGUGAGAUGUUGGGUUAAGUCCCGCAACGAGCGCAACCCUUGUUCACUGUUGCCAGCACGUUAUGGUGGGGACUCAGUGGAGACCGCCGGGGUCAACUCGGAGGAAGGUGGGGAUGACGUCAAGUCAUCAUGCCCCUUAUGUCCAGGGCUUCACGCAUGCUACAAUGGCUGGUACAGAGAGUGGCGAGCCUGUGAGGGUGAGCGAAUCUCGGAAAGCCGGUCUCAGUUCGGACUGGGGUCUGCAACUCGACCUCAUGAAGUCGGAGUCGCUAGUAAUCGCAGAUCAGCAACGCUGCGGUGAAUACGUUCCCGGG
rnacentral:rRNA from 1 species